rnacentral:rRNA from 1 species
GUUGGAACGGCUGCUAAUACCCAAUGUGCCGAAUAGGUGAAAGAUUUAUCACCUGGAGAGGGGCUCGCGUCCGAUUAGCUAGUUGGUGGGGUAAGAGCCUACCAAGGCGUCGAUCGGUAGCUGGUCUGAGAGGAUGAGCAGCCACACUGGGACUGAGACACGGCCCAGACUCCUACGGGAGGCAGCAGUGGGGAAUUUUCCGCAAUGGGCGAAAGCCUGACGGAGCAAUACCGCGUGAGGGAGGAAGGCUUUUGGGUUGUAAACCUCUUUUCUUAGGGAAGAAGAAAGUGACGGUACCUAAGGAAUCAGCAUCGGCUAACUCCGUGCCAGCAGCCGCGGUAAUACGGAGGAUGCAAGCGUUAUCCGGAAUUAUUGGGCGUAAAGCGUCCGCAGGUGGCACUUCAAGUCUGCUGUCAAAGACCAGAGCUCAACUCUGGGCAGGCGGUGGAAACUGGGGAGCUAGAGUACGGUAGGGGUAGAGGGAAUUUCCAGUGUAGCGGUGAAAUGCGUAGAGAUUGGAAAGAACACCAGUGGCGAAGGCGCUCUACUGGACCUGUACUGACACUAAGGGACGAAAGCUAGGGGAGCGAAAGGGAUUAGAUACCCCUGUAGUCA